GCCAGAACACAAAGGACAGGCAGCAUAAUCUUUUUGUCUUUGUUGGCCUUUUCGUGGAGGCAUGUUGGAGCCUGUGCACAGUGACUCUGAAAAGGCUUAGAAAUAUUUCCAAAUGGAUCUCUGGUCGAACGUUUGAAGGCUGUGAACAAACUGAUUAAUUGCUGCUUCUGACCCCUAUUUAUAGACUUCAGAUCAAAGGCAACAUAGUCCUUGUGACAUCAUCACUCCGUAAGCCAAUCAGAUUGUCACAUGACAUUUUAGAAUGGGGAUGUUUUGUUUUAAAUGGUUUUCAAAUUUAACUUUAGUGUUUCUUAGUUUAAGACCAGUUGGGCCAACACUUUCAGGCUGCUCACAAGGUGCAAAAUGGCGGUACCUGCUCCACGUCACGGGUUCUAUUUAUGGACUCACCUGGCAACUUUAGUGAUGUCACUGCUGAUGUCACUGUUGGUGUGACCUCAUGACUCAUUCAUGCUAUCUGAACUGUGGUGUAAUUAUGAGGUCACAGGGGGACGUGAAUUUAUUCACAAAGUUGAUAGAGAGUUUGUAACUCAAAGACGCAAUGAUGCAGUCAAAUCAUUUGGAAUUAAAUAUCUCUGUCAGUGCGCCCCAGGGUGGCAGUGGCUACAAUGUAGCUUGCCGUCACCGGUGUGUGAAUGGGUGGAUGACUGGAUGUGUAAGGUGCUUUGGGGUCCUUAGGGACUAGUAAAGCGCUAUACAAAUACAGGCCAUUUACCAUCUGUAAAUUACAACAUUUAGAGGGUUCUGACAUCACAGUCAUCUUUCUGACAUCACAUCCAGUCUCUCUGCUGUGAUGUCAAAUAUCAAUGCCAGACUUGCUUCUCUGUUGUGAUGUUAAAUAUCAAUGCCAGACUUGCUUCUCUGUUGUGAUGUCAAAUAUCAAGCUGAAGUCUAUGUAUCACGUGUCUCUCCCAUUUUGUAGAAUUUGCGACCACAAAGUCUGGGUUCUUUUCUAGGUCAGCUCUUACUCGUUCUGGUAGACCUGCCAGAUUCAUCUCUCUGUUGUGAUGUCAAAUAUCAAUGUUUGACACAAUUUCGGACCAUCUGCUCAAGCCCAACAAUAACAAGCAUUGCCCUGGUGAUUGAGGAUCAGAUUGUCCUCAAUGACGUCUGUGAUUUCCCUAAUGCAGUUGCACUUUUUCUUGGACUCAUCUAUGCACUUAACCUGGACUAUCUAAAGGACUUAAGGUACACUUUUGAAGUAAUUCAAAAGGUGUUCGUGGGUCUUGGUACUCAGUGCUCUGCCUGGGGUUCAUGCUUUAAAGAAUAAUUUGCUGAAACGGUGGGCAGAAAAGUGUUCGUGAUAACAAAAUCUGUUCUCAUGCUGGUUUUUUUUUUAAUAACCCAGUGCUAUGAUUUGACCAUGAUUUGGUCAAUAAAGUCAUCUUAAAAGUCACUGCAUACACUUCAGUAAUUAUUUAAUUUAUUUCUUUUUAUAUUCAUACUAGAAAAAAAAGCAAUAUCUGACUAAUAUUUCAUAUUAUCAGUUCCAUUGAUAUCGUAC
ensembl:lncRNA